rnacentral:rRNA from 1 species
UACGUAGGGGGCAAGCGUUAUCCGGAAUUACUGGGUGUAAAGGGAGCGUAGACGGCUGAGCAAGUCUGGAGUGAAAGGCCGGGGCCCAACCCCGGGACUGCUCUGGAAACUGUCCGGCUUGAGUGCAGGAGAGGAAAGCGGAAUUACCGGUGUAGCGGUGAAAUGCGUAGAGAUCGGUAGGAACACCAGUGGCGAAGGCGGCUUACUGGACGGCAACUGACGUUGAGGCUCGAAAGCGUGGGGAGCAA